rnacentral:rRNA from 1 species
AAAGUCAUAGAUACUGUUUUACUAGAGGACAGACGGGGGAAGUGGAAUUCCCGGUGUAGGGGUAAAAUCCGUUGAUAUCGGGAGGAACACCAGUGGCGAAAGCGACUUCCUAGACUGUUCCUAACACUGAGACACGAAAGCUAGGGGAGCGAAAGGGAUUAGAUACCCCUGUAGUCCUAGCCUUAAACGAUGGAUGUUAGACGUUAGAGGUAUCGACCCCUCUAGUGUCGCAGCGAAAGCGUUAAACAUCCCACCUGGGGAGUACGGCCGCAAGGUUAAAACUCAAAGGAAUUGACGGGGACCCGCACAAGCAGCGGAGCGUGUGGCUUAAUACGAUGCUACGCGUAGAACCUUACCAGAUCUUGACAUCCGACUAAUCUCUGUGAAAAUAGAGGUGUUCUUUUAGAACGAGUCGUGACAGGUGUUGCAUGGCUGUCGUCAGCUCGUGCCGUGAGGUGUAGAGUUAAGUCUCGUAACGAGCGCAACCCUUGUUGCAUGUUAAAUUUUUCAUGCGAAACUGCCAGGGAUAACCUGGAGGAAGGUGGGGAUGACGUCAAGUCAGUACGGCCCUUAUGAUCUGGGCGGCACACACGCUACAAUGGUCAGUACAAUGGGUUUAAUGCCAAACCGCGAGGUGGAGCUAAUCCCAUCAAAGCUGAUCUCAGUUCGGAUUGGAGUCUGAAACCCGACUCCAUGAAGCUGGAGUUGCUAGUAAACGCCGGUCAGCACACGGCGUUGAAUAUGUUCCCGGGUCUUGUACACACCGCCCGUCACACCACGAAAGUUGGCAACACCCGAAGCCGCUGUGCUAACCGCAA